CAAAUGAAGUUGACGGGGCCCGCACAAGCGGUGGAGCAUGUGGUUUAAUUCGAUGAUACGCGAGGAACCUUACCUGGGCUCAAAUGUAUGUUGACGUAUUCUGAAAGGGAUACUUCUUCGGACAAUAUACAAGGUGCUGCAUGGUUGUCGUCAGCUCGUGCCGUGAGGUGUCGGGUUAAGUCCCAUAACGAGCGCAACCCCUAUCAUUAGUUGCCAUCAGGUCAAGCUGGGGACUCUAAUGAAACUGCCUACGCAAGUAGUGAGGAAGGUGGGGAUGACGUCAAAUCAGCACGGCCCUUACGUCCAGGGCUACACACGUGCUACAAUGGCCGGUACAAAGGGCAGCUACCUGGUGACAGGAUGCUAAUCUCAAAAGCCGGUCUCAGUUCGGAUCGGAGUCUGCAACUCGACUUCAUGAAGCUGGAAUCGCUAGUAAUCGUGGAUCAGCCAAGCCGCGGUGAAUACGUUCCCGGGCCUU
rnacentral:rRNA from 1 species